ACUUCUUAGCCACGGAAGUCCACUUCAUAGUCGGACAAUCUGCUUGGGGCAGAUCUUUGUCGGGUUGGGCGACUUGUCUGGAAUAUCUUCGGCUCCUCCUCUUCACCGGCGUCGAGGUUCAGUUCAUCUUCUCCGGUCAGCUUUCCUUCCAAGUCUCGUGUUAAUGUUGUAGGAUCAAUUUGACUCGCUCGUAACAUGAUCUACCUCCUCUGGAUGCGCUUUGUCUUCAAGGUGUAACGACGGAAAGAGGCGUUGUAGCUUCCCAGGUUCUUCCCAUGAUAAAUCUUCAGGCAUUGCUCCGGACCACUGUACUAGGACCUGUUUAACUUGUUUGCCGUUCUCAUAGAUUGUUCUGUUAUCCAGGAUUGCGAGAGGGUAAAUAAUCGGCUGAUUUCGCACUGCUAAUAUUGGUUUCUCUGGUUGUGUUGCUGGAAUUGGUCCUUCAAAUUUUUUCAAUCUUGAAAUGUGAAAGGUAUUAUGAAUCUUGCUUCCAACUUGGUAAUUGAAGUUUAUAUGCUAUCUUGCUGAUUUUUCUUUCUAUUUUAUAUGGUCCAAAGUAUUUUUUGCACAUUUUAUUAUGAAGCAUGUUUGCCACGGUUAGUUGCUUGUAUGGAGUUAACUUGACCAAUACCCACUGUCCUUCCUCAAAUACUACAUCAGAUCUGUGUUUGUCAGCUGCAUUUUUCAUUCUGAUUUGUGAUCUUUCUAGUGUAGCUUUAAUCAACUUUAGAUUUUCCUCUCUUAAUUGCAAAUUCAUUUCAAUAGCAUCUACUCUUGAAUCACCACUAGAAUAGUGGGGUAUGAUUUGGGCCUCUCUCCCAUAUAGAGCUUUAAAUGGGGACAUACCAAUAGAUGAAUGAAAACUAGUAUAUUAUACCAUAAUUCCGCCCAUGGUAAUAAGGAUAGCCAUUUUUUUGAUCCUCGUGGCAUAGAGAUUUUAGAUACAUUUCUAAGCUUCUGUUCACUACUUCCGUCUGACCAUCACUUUGAGGAUGAUAAGCUGAUGAAUAAUGUAAGGAGGUGCCACUUUGCUUGUGCAACUCUUUCCAAAAAUUUGAUGUGAAUACCCUAUCUCUGUCCGAAAUAAUAGAAUUAGGUAUACCAUGUAGCUUAACUACAUUAGAGAUGAAUAAUUCUGCUACCAUGGAGGCCCCAAAAUGAGUUGGUAAAGCCAAGAAGUGGGAAUAUUUUGAUAAUCUGUCUACAAUGACCAUAAUCACUGUUUUCCCUUGGACUUUUGGUAGGUGAGUGAUAAAGUUCAUGGAUAUAUCCUUUCAAACUUCAAAUGGAAUUGGCAAGGGCAUCAGUAAGCCUGCUGGCUUCUGAUUUAUAGGCUUCAUUUGUUGGCAUACCAUACAAUUUUGCACAUAAAACUUUAUAUCCUUCAUUCCUUCCCCAUUCCUUUCCAGCAAAAUUGAGCAGAUAAUUUUUUGAUGGAUCUUUCAAUCCCAGAAUGAUCUCCCAAUGUGGAGUUAUGAAACUCAUUUAAUAAUUUAGGAAUUAAUUUCGAAGUUUGAGAAAUAAAAUACCUGUCCUUGAAUAAUAUUAACCCAUUUCUGAUAGAAAAUCCUUCCAUUCGAGCUUCAUUAUUUUCAAUUUGUUCAGAAUUGACUGUAACUCUGGUGUGCUGGAUAUUUCCUAUUUAAGCUCCAUAAUGAUGUCAUUAAUUGGAGCUGAUAAGGCCAAAAAGGAACCCGAUACUCCAUCCGACUUGUUGAUGAAUAGUAUCUCUUCUUCUUCCGAGUCAUUGAAUGAUCUAGACAAGGCAUUAACCACCUUGUUAUCCUUCCCGGGUUUAUACACAAUAGAAAAAUCAAAAUCCAUUAAUUUGCAUAAGAAGACUUGUUGUUCCGGUGUUUAUAUGACUUGAGUCAAUAGAUUUUUUAAGCUUCUAUGGUCUGUCCUAAUUAUAAAAUGAGAACCCAAGAGAUAAUGUCUUCAUUUACUUACAGAUUGGGUGAUAGCGUACAUCUCCUUGAUGUAAACUGAUGCUGCAGCCAUUUUGCCCGAUAUUUUAGGACUUUAGAAGGAUAUAGAAUGCUUUUCCUGAAUUAAUACUGCCCCUAUGCCUGUAUUGCAUGCAUCGGUUUCUACUUCAAACUGCUUAGAGAAAUCUGGGAAGCUUAAGACAGGAGCUGAUGUCAUUGCUUUUUUUAGAGCUUCAAAACUGUUGGUAGCUUCAUUUGACCAUAAGAAAAUAUCCUUUUUGAGAAGAUUUGUCAUGGGUGCCGCCAAUUGUGCAUAUCCCUUAAUGAAUCUUCUGGAGUAUCCUGUCAAGCCCAAAAAUCCUCUCAAUAUUUUCAGAGUUUUUGGUGUUUGCCAAUCAAUCAUUGCACUAAUUUUAUCGGGGUCAGGUUGGACUCCAAUUUCAGAAAUGAUGUGUCCCAAGAAUCCUAUAGUUUUCUGUCCAAAUGAACAUUUCGAUAGUUUAGCCAUCAAUUGAUUUUCUCUCAAGGUCUCGAAUACCUUUCUCAAGUGCAUAAUAUGUUCUUCUAAUGAGGGAUUGUAAAUAAGUAUAUCGUCAAAAAAAAUAACCACAAAUUUUCUUAAGUAUUUCUGAAAAACUGAGUUCAUUAGGGACUGAAAUGUGACUGGAGCAUUGGUAAGACCGAAAGGCAUGACCAUGAACUCAAAAUGCCCUUGAUGAGUUCUAAAUUAAGGUUGUUUUCUCAGUAUCUAUUGGGUGGAUUCUGAUUUGAUGGAAGCCCGACCUCAAGUCUAACUUAGAAAAAAUUAUGGACCCUUUAAGUUCACCCAACAGUUCAUCCACAGUAGGUAUAGGAAAUUUAUCAUUCACUGUUAGAGCAUUCAGUGCUCUGUAGUCCACGCAUAGUCUAUAACCACCGUCCUUUUUCUUCACCAAUAGUACUGGGGAAGAAUAUGGGUUGUUGCUUGGCUUGAUGAUUUUCUGAUUCAGCAUUUCAUAAACAAUCUUUUCAAUUUCAUUCUUUUGGAACUGUGGAUAUCUAUAGGGUCUGACAUUUGUAGGGGUUGAUCCUGGUUGUAAAUGAAUAUGAUGGUCUCUAUCUCUUUGUGGAGGGAGGCCACUAGGAUCUGAAAAUAUAUCGCUGAAUUCACUUGUAAUAUUAUGAAUUUCGGGACACUUCUGGGAUAAUAGAGAAUUGUUACAGUUGGGUGCUUCUGCCUCUAAAUAGCAUAGAUAGGCUUCACAUGUUUCUGAGGUCAGUCUUUUGAGUUGGCCAAAUGUCAUGGGAUCAUCGGAUAUCCAAGAUAGACCCUUCCAAGUAACCUCUUUUCCUUGCCAAGAAAAUUGCAUAGAUAAGACUUCAAAAUUCAGUGAGAAAUAUCCUAAUUUUUUUAGCCAUUGGAUUCCAAUAACAAUAUUUGAGUCAGCCAUUGGCAACAAGAAUAAAUCCAUAUGCACCAUCACUCCUUGAAUCUGGAUUUUUACUGAUCUGCACACCUUAUCAUAAAUUAUUUUCUCUCCACUACCCGUGGAUACUUUGAAGGCUGAAAUGGCAUGUAUAGUCACUUUUAAGGCUUGAGCUACCUCCUCUUGAAUGAAAUUAUGAGUGGAGCCAGUAUCCACUAAUACACUAGCAGUUUUGCAAUUAAUAACUCCCUCUAAUCUUAUGGUAUUGGGAUUGAUAUGUCCCUCAAAUGCAUUGAGGCUGAUCUCUGUGCUGCCCUGUCCAUUAUGAAUUUCUGUCAUUUCAUACUCAUUUUCGUUCUCUUCAACCUCCAAUAGAUAUGAUUGGUCAGCUGAUAGCCUGAAAAGUUUGCCCUUGUAUUUAUGCCCCGGAGUAAACUUAUCAUCGCAAUUAAAAAAGAGGCCUUUGGAAGUUCUUUCUUUUCUCUCCUCGGGUGAAAGCCUCUUAAAUACAGGUAAUUUACCUUUAUUUUCAGCAACCACAUUAGAUAGGGAUUUGGGCACAAAUGGAACUAUUGAUUUUGAUGUAGAACCCCCACUAAAUCUGUUUUGGCUCACUGCAGUGUUCUGAACAUUUGUUGGAGCUGAGCUUAUGGAUGUAAUAGCUCUGUCUGGUUGCUUUCCUUCGACUAGAAGGGCUAAGUCACCCGCCUCUUGGACAUCCUUAGGUUUCCCUUUUAGUACUUCUUUCUUAAUAGGUUCUUUGAGUCCUGAUAUGAACAUUUCUAAUAUGAAAUAUUCAGGAACACCAAGAACUUUUGUGCACAUUUCCUUGAAUUCGCUUUGAUAUUCUGCUACGGAUUCUGUUUGGAGUAAUUUACUCAAGCGACCACCCGGUAUUGCAUAGCUGAUACUACUGAAUUUUCUCAAUACAGAUUUUACAAAACUUUUCCAAUCUGUGAGAAAAUUACUAGCCUCCAUCCAUGUGAACCACUUCCUCGCGAUCCCAUCCAAAUGAAAGGAUACUAUUAAUAAUUUUUGUUCCUCUGGUGUCUUGUUGAAUAUAAAGUAUCUUCUUACUUGGUACAACCAUCCUUUUGCAUCGGUACCGUCAAAGCGAGGCAUGCUAACUCUCAAGUGCUUUGCAGGUGUAUAAUGAGGUAUGUCCAGAUCUACCUCAGAAACUGAUGAUACCCUUGGUCCAUCAGACCAGGCCCAUCCCCGACCAGGCCCAGUAGGCCCACUUGACUAGUGAAAGAAGGCUCGGUCCAGUAGGAAAGUGUAUAAAUACCCCUAGGGGUUGAAUGUAGAGGGAAGGGAGACAUUUGUAAUAGAUUAGAUACUGUAAUAGAAAGAUUGUCUGGUAUACACUUAAUACCAAACGAUCAGUGGUGAACCUGACGUGAAUCGAACAUGCAACUUUCUGAUUCCAUGAUCGGUCUAGAUGGCAGAAAAAGAAGAAAUCGACACUCAUUGACCGCGACCCUUCUCUUAUUCUUGGCUUUCUCCUUAUUUACACGGCGUUUUUUUUAAAAAAUUUUUUUUGCGUUCUCUGCAUCUUCAAAACGGUAGCACUGCCUUGAUUCCUCUAGGGUUUCCUCAUUCGUAUAUGUAACGGUUACCGCCAGAGACUCAUCUUUGCGGUGUUGAUUUCGCGUCUAUUUCCGAUUUUACCUAUCGGAUCUCGUCGAUUUUAUUUUAAUCGAUUUUCGAUUUUGGACCAGUUGCUUGAUCUCAUCGUUACUUGAUUAAAGUUGAUUUCAUCUUCUGUUUUUCUGAUUUGUUUUUCGAUUCUCACUGUUGAGUAUUAUCGCGAGAAAGAAAUCCUUGCGGAUUGGAUUCCGAUUUCGUUUUCGUUUCCAAUUUUGUUUUCGAUUUUAAUAGUCGUCGAUAAUUUUCGAUUUUAAUAGUCUUUUCGUUUUGAUUUUAAUAAUUGUUUCUGAUUUUGCGAUUCUUGUGUGUGUGAGAGAGAGAGCCGUUCAGAUCCGAAAUCAUCAAAAACCCCAAUUGUACGAAACGACGUGUCCGUUCUUCUCCGUGUUUUCACUUUUUACAUUCACACUUGUCGUUGUUCUUCUCCACGAUUCUCAUUGUUGAGGAUUUGUUUUGCAAGUCUACUGUUACUGUUUAUUCUCUUUCAUUUGUUUGAUCUACUGUUUAAGUAACGAUCAAUUCCAAGUAAAGAAUCCGCAGAUGCAGAUUCUGGCAGUGCCGGUGGCUACUCACGUAGACAAGUGUAAAUUCGAGAGUCAGUUGGAAUUUCCGAUUUCACACUAUCCUUCCCAUGCUUCUUUCCCCACGAUGUCAAGAACUCAUGACUGACCGAUUACAGUCAGAUCGUUAAUGUCCGAUCGUCGUCCAUUCAUUCUUUGACAAUCCUCUUAUCUCGCCGAUGCUCGCGACAGUCCUUUCGGUUAUUUUCACGUUAUUUCUUCCCAAAGAUGAAUUGUAAGAUCCCAGGUCCCAAGUAUGGUGAUGGCUCGAUCAAGGUAAUGUCUUUUAUAAUACAUUAUUUCUUUUAUCUUUACACAGUUCAAGCCCAUCUCAAUCUUAAAUAAAAUACAUAGUUGUAAAAAAAUACAAGUCAAGUUUUCUCUUUUCUCGUUGAGAAACCAAACCAGACUCGAGACUUGCAGAGUGCUUCUAGAGAAAUUCAGAGACCUGGGUUCUAUAUGAACUUCUCCAAUCCAUAAAUCAGAUUCUGUGAAAUGGCAUUGUCGUGAGCAAACACGGAUACAUUCAAUGAUCUGGAAAAACAUUAGAGGAAAUAAGGAUUACCUUUAGACGCGCUACCUUCCUGAUACAUUCAAUGAUCUGGAAAAACAUUAGAGGAAAUAAGGAUUACCUUUAGACGCGCUACCUUCCUGAUGGCUAGCAGCAAACUUGGCAUCAGAGAUUUAACAUAUGUGAUAUCGUGUCUGAUAGUAUAAACCUGUUUUUCUUCUUCUAUGUAGAACCGUGCUGUGUACUCGUAUGCCAUCUUCACCCAAAACCUGCCCCCUUGCCUUUAAAUUUAUGUAAACAAAAUUAUUGCCACUUAGAUUUGCCAACACAUCUUAUUUUCUAUAUCCAUUAGAGAAUAGAGAUACUUUGAAGUUUGAACUGUGAAAGAAAAAAGAAUAAUGUGGAGCAGCUUACUGCAACAUCGGUGGAUAGAUCUUCUUUGUUGUAUAGCUGACCAAGAUCAGAUAAAUUGUCGGCAAGUUGGUUUGCAUCAGGGUGUGGUCGUGAUUCCACAAUCUCCACAUUUCUGUAAUGGAAAGAUGCUUGAAUAGCAGUUUGCUGAAGGAGGACUGAACCUAUAGAAAGGGUUGGAGCAACUAAGAAAACAAGCUUCGUGAAUUGCUUGUAAACGUAGCAAGAUGUAACAUUUUCCAAGAAAACUGCAAAGAAUGAAGGGGAGUGCCAUUGAAUAUCGAUGGGAAUGAAGAGGUCACCCAGUACUAUGUUCCGUCUAUAUCUGUAAUCCAGUUAUACGCACACUCCAAUUUCAGUCCAAGGUAUGAUGAUUUUCUGUUCAAAGCAAUAUCUUGCUCCGCAAUACUACAUUUCGAAUUACAAUUUCUCAUUUUAUUAGAAUAUUAUACAAUUACAGCAUUAUAUUUCUAAGGCUUUAGAUAGGUUUGUAUCGAUACAUUAGAUUUCCUUGAAACUAAUAGGUAUCGAACUAUCAACAUCAUUUCAAAUAAAAAGUAAUAAUAGGAUUAUAGUAUAAAUGUUUUAAUCAUAUAUUUCAAUUACCUGGUAGUAUUGUGUGCUCUUUUGAUUUAAAAUGCCGUAAAUAAUGGCUAAUCAUGAAUAUGGAAUUUGCUAAAACAAUCCUUGACUCCUUGAUAUGAUGUUAACAGAAAAUCUUGGUUUUGUUUAAUCCAUCACAUAUGAUAUUUUUAUAACACAGUUAUUUUCCAACACCUUAUAAGAAAACCAAUUUGUCUCAAAUUAAAAUGUUGUGCAUGUUAUUCCAUAUUUUUUACGUCUUUCAUUUCUCUACAUUUGUAAUACACAUUUUGUAUCAUUGCUAUGCCCCCCACCCUUUUAUUUUUUAGAAAUAAAACCUUCCUUUUACAAAAAAAAAAGAUGUUUCCACAUUUGCACAUUAUUAUAAUCAGGUCUCACUUUGUUAUAAUUGGGUGAUAACAAAAUAGUUAGUAACCAUACUAAUCCUUAGGUGUGCAGUUAACUACACUCACUACAAAAAAAAGGACCUUGUAUGGCGGUCUUUAGAUGGCGGAUUUCCGCCAUCUAAAGUGAUCCUCGGCGGAAAUCCGCCAUCUAAAGGCCGCCAUCUAGGACACCGCCAUUAAAACCCAUAAACCGCCAUCUAAAGACCGCCAUCUAUUAUCCAUCCCCAUUUCCCACCAAAAAUAGUUUAGAUGGCGGAUUUCCGCCAUCUAAACUGAAAAUUUUGGCGCGAAUUGAAAAGUUUUAGAUGGCGGAUUUCCGCCAUCUAAAAUAUGGCGCGGGAAUAGUUUGGCGCCAAUUCAUUGAUGGCGGUUAAUUUCAUUGACGGCGGAUGUCCGCCGACUAUCCCUGUACCUUUAGAUGGCGGAUUUCCGCCAUCUAAAGUACAGCAGGCGGUUCCCUUAGUUUAUAGAUGGCGGAUAUCCGCCAUCUAUUCGUGGGAGAGGGCGAUUGUGCCCAGCUUUAGAUGGCGGAUUUCCGCCAUCUAAAACUAAGUAGAAGAGUUUAGAUGGCGGAAAUCCGCCAUACAAUGUUUUUUACAUUUUUUUUUUAAAACAGGAUUCUAUAUUGUGCGUUCGAAUCGUUGUUUGUCGAAAUAAAAGCGAUAUUUGAGGAAACGAUUUGAAAUAGAAAUGGAAAUCGAUGUUUUUUAUUAAAAAGAAAUUAAAUUACAGAAUCGUUAAACAUUCGAAGUUUUAAUAAGAAAAAAAAAAUUGUUUAUCAACACUCGUCUUCUGAAUCAGAAUCAGAAUCUUCUGAAUCAGAAUCAGAAUUAUCUGAUCCGAAUGCAGACGGUAUUGUUGACUUUGAAGUAGAAGCCAUCUGCGUCAUGUCUAGUCCAGAAGUCUUCAAAGUCUUGUUCAAUUUCUUCAUAUAGGAUUUCAUAGCAUUGAACUUUUUCUUGUAUUUCGAGACGUCUUUUUGACUCUCGUUACACUUGUUCUGAAAAUGAAAACAACAAUG
rnacentral:lncRNA from 1 species